rnacentral:lncRNA from 1 species
AUGGACAAGCUUGGAUUCCAACCGUUCUGUUCACAGCAAUGCAGCUGUGGCAGUUCCCUGCUUAGAGAGAAGCUGGAAUUCGUUGGCACUGGAGCACGUUGUCCCAGGAAGCGACUACUCCCUGCCAGGACUAUUUGGUACCCGAAGCCGAGCACGCAGAUCAUCCUGGGAGGACAAAGAGCCAAAACACAGCUGGUUUCCAAAGCUGUCUUCCCCCACACUUGUCAUGUGGGCACAGGGAUACCACACUUGCAAGGGCUUCUCCAAAGGUUUUUCUGCCAGGAGUGCUCCAGGCUUUCAGAAGCAGAGCAGCCCUGGGAGAGCAGCUGA